GUUUGAUCCUGGCUCAGAACGAACGCUGGCGGCGUGCUUAACACAUGCAAGUCGAACGUGAUUGAGAGCUUGCUCUCAUGAAAGUGGCGCACGGGUGAGUAACACGUGGAUAAUCUGCCUGGCGAUUCGGGAUAACACUUCGAAAGGGGUGCUAAUACCGGAUAAGCCCACGGUCUCUUCGGAGAGCGCGGGAAAAGGGGACCUCUGUAUAUGCUCCUGUCGCUAGAUGAGUCCGCGGCCCAUUAGCUAGUUGGUAGGGUAAUGGCCUACCAAGGCUACGAUGGGUAGCUGGUCUGAGAGGAUGAUCAGCCACACUGGAACUGAGACACGGUCCAGACUCCUACGGGAGGCAGCAGUGGGGAAUUUUGCGUAAUGGGCGAAAGCCUGACGCAGCAACGCCGCGUGAGUGAUGAAGGCCUUCGGGUCGUAAAGCUCUGUCAGAGGGGAAGAACCGCCGGGUGGCUAAUACCUGCCUGGUCUGACGGUACCCUCAAAGGAAGCACCGGCUAACUCCGUGCCAGCAGCCGCGGUAAUAC
rnacentral:rRNA from 2 species